GGGGGGUUAAGAUUUGAACGCUGGCGGCAGGCCUAACACAUGCAAGUCGAACGGUAACAGGAAGCAGCUUGCUGCUUCGCUGACGAGUGGCGGACGGGUGAGUAAUGUCUGGGAAACUGCCUGAUGGAGGGGGAUAACUACUGGAAACGGUGGCUAAUACCGCAUAACGUCGCAAGACCAAAGAGGGGGACCUUCGGGCCUCUUGCCAUCAGAUGUGCCCAGAUGGGAUUAGCUUGUUGGUGAGGUAACGGCUCACCAAGGCGACGAUCCCUAGCUGGUCUGAGAGGAUGACCAGCCACACUGGAACUGAGACACGGUCCAGACUCCUACGGGAGGCAGCAGUGGGGAAUAUUGCACAAUGGGCGCAAGCCUGAUGCAGCCAUGCCGCGUGUAUGAAGAAGGCCUUCGGGUUGUAAAGUACUUUCAGCGGGGAGGAAGGUGUUGUGGUUAAUAACCGCAGCAAUUGACGUUACCCGCAGAAGAAGCACCGGCUAACUCCGUGCCAGCCGCCGCGGUAAUUA
rnacentral:rRNA from 1 species